rnacentral:piRNA from 1 species
UAGUACAAAGGUCCAAAAUC